rnacentral:rRNA from 1 species
UACAUGGGGUGCAAACGUUGCUCGGAAUUAUUGGGCGUAAAGCGCGCGUAGGCGGUUACUCAAGUCGGAUGUGAAAGCCCUCGGCUUAACUGAGGAAGUGCACCCGAAACUGAGUAGCUAGAGUACCAAAGAGGGUCGCGGAAUUCCCGGUGUAGAGGUGAAAUUCGUAGAUAUCGGGAGGAACACCGGUGGCGAAGGCGGCCGGCUGGACCUGACCUGACGCUGAGGCACGAAGGCGUGGGGAGCGAACAGG